GCCGGUGUGGCGGAAUGGUAGACGCAGGGGAUUCAAAAUCCCCCGACCGCAAGGUCAUGUCGGUUCGAGUCCGACCACCGGUACCA
rnacentral:tRNA from 2 species